rnacentral:rRNA from 1 species
UCGGGAAUUUUGGGCAAUGGGCGAAAGCCUGACCCAGCAACGCCGCGUGAAGGAUGAAAUCCCUCGGGAUGUAAACUUCGCAAGAAUGGGAAGAAUAAGUGUGGGCUAAUACCCUUCAUGAUGACGGUACCAUUUGUAAGCUCCGGCUAACUUCGUGCCAGCAGCCGCGGUAAUACGAGGGGAGCAAGCGUUGUUCGGAUUUACUGGGCGUAAAGGGCGCGUAGGCGGCCACGACAAGUCACUUGUGAAAUCUCCGGGCUUAACUCGGAACGGUCAAGUGAUACUGUCGGGCUAGAGUACAGAAGGGGCAACUGGAAUUCUCGGUGUAGCGGUGAAAUGCGUAGAUAUCGAGAGGAACACCUGCGGCGAAGGCGGGUUGCUGGGCUGAUACUGACGCUGA